rnacentral:misc_RNA from 1 species
GUGACCUCGAGAGCAGGCGUGCCGGCAGUUGGGUCGUGGCUGCAGCCGCGUUGGCUGCAAACUUUGUCCUCUGCUGGAAACGUCUUCAGAGGAGGAACAUCUGACGCUGGGGAACUCUCGGCAGCAGUGAAACAGGAUAACAACGCCCCAACUAUGCAUUUCCCAAUCGCCGCUACGCUAGCAAUCGUCGGGUCCGUAACGCUCUGCAAGGGAGAAGAUGUGCUGGUGACCGUUCAGCAGGGAACACUACGAGGAUCCACAGCCACGAGCGUCUACAACACCUCUUACUCGGCCUUUUUGGGUAUCCCGUAUGCCGUGCCGCCAACCGGGAAGUUGCGAUUUUUGGCUCCUCAGCCGGCAGGAAACUGGGAAGGAGUACGCAAUGCCACUCAAUACGGCAACGACUGCGUCCAACAGGACGGCAGCGGCUCCGAGGACUGCCUCUACCUGAACGUGUACGUGCCGGGCGUUCCACAGGAGGGCGCCAACCUACCUGUGAUGUUCUACAUUUACGGUGGCGCAUUCAGAACUGGCAGUGGUUCUGACCAGGAAUACGGCCCCGACUUCCUCGUUUCCUACAGUGUCAUACUCGUCACGGUUAAUUACCGGCUGGGGCAGCUUGGUUUUCUGAGCACGGGAGACGCUGUCGCCCCUGGUAACGCGGGCCUCAAGGACCAGAGGCUGGCACUGACCUGGGUACAGAGAAACAUCGAGCGCUUUGGCGGCGACCAGCAGCAAGUCACCGUAUUCGGACAUAGCGCCGGUGCACUGUCUACCUGCUAUCACUUUAUCUCGCCACAGUCCUCAGGUUUGUUCUCAAGAGCUAUUAUUCAGAGUAGUAACUUCGUCGUCGCAAAUCCAUUCUCAACAACAAAUGCCCGGACUCAUUCUUUCAAACUAGGAUCCAUCCUCGGCUACGAAACCAACAAUUCACAACAGCUGAUCGACUUUCUGCAGUCUGUGAACGUUACAGACCUUCUGGUAAACGACUCACUGAUCCAGACAGAUGUGGAAAAGAAGCAAGUUAUACACCGUCCAUGGGAACCAAAUAUCGAGCCAGACGUGGAGGGUGCUAUAGUUACUGAGUCCCCUAAUCAGAUGCUCAUAGACGGCCGUUUCAACAACGUGCCAAUCAUGAUGGGCACUGUUUCUGCCGAAAUUGGAACCUUUCCCCUUCAGAGACCGGAACUGAUUGCCAAUUUGAAUGAAGACUUCGCGGCUGUGAUAGGUCCCAGCUUACACCUGCCUACCGUGGAACAGCAGACAGAGGCCGCCUGGAAGGUGAAAGACUUCUACUUCGGCAACAACACCAUUUCUGACGACGAUCCAGACACUCUGAUCCCCUUUUUCGAAGACUUCGCAUGGUCUGAUCCCAACGAUGCCAUGAUAAAGAAAGUCGUAGAGGUCUCUAACUUGACCCUUCAUUCCUAUAUAUUCGACUACAGAGGAGACAUCAUUCUUACAAAUCCAUGGGCAACCCUACUCCUGAGGCGGAUCCCGUGGUGUGGCAGCCCUACGACCUCUCCAGCCAUAGUUACUUUCUGAUGCAGGCCAACUUCUCGAUCGCACACGACCCAUAUGGCGAGCGUAUGGCCUUCUGGAGAGAGAACGUUCCACUCAUGCCAUUUCCCGACACAAUAUGAUAUGCCACAAGAGACAUUGACCGAUUCCAAAGAAGAGGAAAAACAGCACUUUACAGAUAGAUAAUGAUUACCUGGAAAGCAAUUAACUAAGAAUUCGAAACAAACAUCUCUAAUGCUUAGUUACUGAGGCACUUCGAAAAAUUCCCUUAAUUUGGGGUUUAGAUGUUGUUGAACAUAAUCCUGAUACUUCAACCUCACAAAUGUUACAGAUAUUCAUCAGUUGCAGAGAAGAGGAGAAACAGCACCUAAAUAUUGAAUACUCUCUGCCAGAAAGGACUUAAUCCAAAACUCGAGAGAAACAUCUCUAAAGUAUAAGUAACAAGUCACUGCGAAAUGGCGGUUUCGUCGUUCCUGAACAUAAUCCUGAUACUUAAAUCCCACAAAUGUUAAGAAAUUUCAGGAAACGGCCUAAGUGCAACUAAACACUUAAGCAUUGUGGUACUGUCCGUUAUAGUUAACUUCGUUUUCAGUUUUCUCUUCUCAGUAAGAUGGAAUUAUUAAUUUCAUUUAUUUUUUUAUUUGCUUGAAGAUGGAACUACUGUAUUUGUAUUUAUUGAAAUAAAAUUAUUAAUUUCAUAUCACUGA